GGCACGGGGGGAGGAAAGCAGGGGAUCGCAAGACCUUGCGCCGAUGGAUGAGCCGAAGUCGGAUUAGCUAGUUGGUAGGGUAACGGCCUACCAAGGCGACGAUCCGUAGCUGGUCUGAGAGGACGACCAGCCACACUGGGACUGAGACACGGUCCAGACUCCUACGGGAGGCAGCAGUGGGGAAUAUUGGACAAUGGGGGAAACCCUGAUCCAGCGACGCCGCGUGUGUGAAGAAGGCCUGCGGGUUGUAAAGCACUUUUAGUGGGGACAAAAAGCUACGGAUUAAUACUCUGUGGUCUUGAUUUAACCCAAAGAAAAAGCACCGGCUAACUCUGUGCCAGCAGCCGCGGUAAUACAGAGGGUGCGAGCGUUAAUCGGAAUUACUGGGCGUAAAGCGCGCGUAGACGGUUU
rnacentral:rRNA from 1 species